UCUGAAUGGGGAAACCCACCCACGGUAACGUGGGUAUCCCACACUGAAUCCAUAGGUGUUGGGAGGCGAACCGGGGGAACUGAAACAUCUCAGUACCCCGAGGAAAAGAAAUCAACCGAGAUUCCCCCAGUAGCGGCGAGCGAACGGGGACCAGCCCUUAAGCAUGUGACGGAUUAGGCGAACGUGCUGGGAAGCACGGCCAUAGCGGGUGAUAGCCCCGUAGCCGAAAAUCUGAUCAUGUGAAAUCGAGUAGGUCGGGGCACGAGAAACCUUGACUGAAGACGGGGGGACCAUCCUCCAAGGCUAAAUACUCCUGGCUGACCGAUAGUGAACCAGUACCGUGAGGGAAAGGCGAAAAGAACCCCGGAGAGGGGAGUGAAAUAGAUCCUGAAACCGUAUGCGUACAAGCAGUGGGAGCAUGCAGGUCAUGUGACCGCGUACCUUUUGUAUAAUGGGUCAGCGACUUAUUUUCAGUGGCGAGCUUAACCGUAUAGGGGAGGCGUAGCGAAAGCGAGUCUUAACUGGGCGACCAGUCGCUGGAAAUAGACCCGAAACCGGGCGAUCUAUCCAUGAGCAGGUUGAAGGUUGAGUAACAUCAACUGGAGGACCGAACCAGGAUCUGUUGAAAAAGAUUUGGAUGACUUGUGGAUCGGAGUGAAAGGCUAAUCAAGCCCGGAGAUAGCUGGUUCUCCUCGAAAGCUAUUUAGGUAGCGCCUCACGUAGCACCGCCGGGGGUAGAGCACUGUUUCGGCUAGGGGGUCAUCCCGACUUACCAACCCGAGGCAAACUCCGAAUACCGGUGAGUGACGCGUGGGAGACACACAGCGGGUGCUAACGUCCGUUGUGAAAAGGGAAACAACCCAGACCGUCAGCUAAGGUCCCGAAAUCCUGGUUAAGUGGGAAACGAUGUGGGAAGGCUCAGACAGCUAGGAGGUUGGCUUAGAAGCAGCCAUCCUUUAAAGAAAGCGUAAUAGCUCACUAGUCGAGUCGGCCUGCGCGGAAGAUGUAACGGGGCUCAAACCAGGUACCGAAGCUACGGGUUCGUCGAAUGACGAGCGGUAGAGGAGCGUCGUGUAAGCCGACGAAGGUGGAUCGAGAGGUCUGCUGGAGGUAUCACGAGUGCGAAUGCUGACAUGAGUAACGACAAGGGGAGUGAAAAACUCCCCCGCCGGAAGACCAAGG
rnacentral:rRNA from 1 species